rnacentral:rRNA from 1 species
GGGCCCGCACAAGCGGUGGAGCAUGUGGUUUAAUUCGAUGAUACGCGAGGAACCUUACCAGGGCUUAAAUGUAGUCUGACAGCUUUAGAGAUAGAGUUUUCUUCGGACAGAUUACAAGGUGCUGCAUGGUUGUCGUCAGCUCGUGCCGUGAGGUGUCAGGUUAAGUCCUAUAACGAGCGCAACCCCUGUCGUUAGUUGCCAGCAUGUCAUGAUGGGGACUCUAACGAGACUGCCAGUGCAAACUGUGAGGAAGGUGGGGAUGACGUCAAGUCCUCAUGGCCUUUAUGUCCAGGGCUACACACGUGUUACAAUGGGGUGACAAAGAGUUGCCAAGCUGCGAAGCUGCGCAAA